rnacentral:misc_RNA from 1 species
GGCAUAUUGAACUCACAAAUAAGAUAUUCAAUGUAUAGAGCGAUUAAUCAUGUGUUUUGCAUCUCCUCAACAUACUCAUGGUGAUAGUUAUUAAAUGGAUUAACAAUUCAGAAAAAAGCACUCAAAGUUGAUUGUUCAAUCAACAUUUCAUGUACAACUCAAAAGUUCAAAGCUAGAAUGGGAAUGGAUAGGGGACGACAAAUUACAUCCUCAUGUUGGCUUGAACUAGGCCACUAAGACCUAGCAACUUACACUACUUUAUUGCCGGUGAAUAGAGACAACCCGACGUCCGUGUGAUCAUUUCUCUUCCUUCUUCUCUUUCUUUCCUCCUGAGAAGAGCUUAUAACCCCCAUAGAAGACCAAACCCCAACCAGUAAGAGAGGC